GCCAGCUUGGUGUAGUGUUUUGAGCAUUGGACUACAACUCUCAAGGUCCAGGGUUUGAAUCCCUGCUUUGCA